UAGUGAGUUUGAUCCUGGCUCAGGAUGAACGCUGGCGGUCUGCUUAACACAUGCAAGUCGAACGCAAGUAGAAACUACUUGAGUGGCGGACGGGUGAGUAACGCGUGAGAAUCUGCCUUCUGGGUCGGGGACAACCACUGGAAACGGUGGCUAAUACCGGAUAUGCCUAUGGGUGAAAGAUUAAUUGCCAGAAGAAGAGCUCGCGUCUGAUUAGCUAGUUGGAGAGGUAAGGCUCACCAAGGCAUCGAUCAGUAGCUGGUCUGAGAGG
rnacentral:rRNA from 1 species